rnacentral:rRNA from 1 species
AUGGCACGCCGUUUCCUGGCCGUGCUCGCCGUCGUCCUGGCGCUCUCGCAGGCCGCCUCGGCCAAGCCCUGGCUCGACGAUAAGUUCAACACGGACGGCACUGUCCGGACCGGUUACGACGCUUCGGGCGAGCAGGUGGUGACGCUCAGCCUCGACCAGCGCUCCGGCGCCGGCUUCAACUCCGAUGAGCAAUACCUCUACGGUGAGUUCAGCAUCCAGAUGAAGCUCAUCCCGGGAAACUCCGCCGGCACCGUCUCUUGCUUCUACCUUUCUUCCGGUGAUGGCGACGGGCACGACGAGAUCGACAUGGAGUUCAUGGGCAACUCCAGCGGCCCUGGCCAUCCAGUGGUGCUCAACACCAACGUGUGGGUCAACGGCGACGGCAAGAAGGAGCACCAGUUCAACCUCUGGUUCGACCCCGCCGCCGACUUCCACACCUACACCAUCAUCUGGAACCCGGAGAACAUCCUCUUCAAGGUUGACAACCUCUUCAUCCGGUCCUUCAAGCGCUUCGCCGGCAUCCCCUACACUAGCUCCAAACCCAUGAGGCUGCACGCCACGCUCUGGGACGGCAGCUUCUGGGCGACCGAGAAGGGCAAGGUCCCCAUCGACUGGUCCAACGCGCCCUUCAACGUCUUGUACCGGAACUACUACGCCAACGCCUGCGUCAGCGGCGGCGCGUGCCACGCCGGCAGCGACGGGUGGAUGAACAGGCAGCUCAACGGCGCCGAGUGGGGCACCGUGAAGUGGGCGGAGCGCAGUUACAUGAGCUACAACUACUGCGAGGAUGGGUACAGGUUCCCGCAGGGGUUCCCCGCCGAGUGCAGCCGCUACUGA